AUGGCUGCGGGCUGGGCUACAAAGGUCGGAGCCGUCGCCUGAGGUCUAGAAAUCCCAUGUAUUUCAAGCUGCAGGCAGUGGCCUGUGAGUCGACCAGGGCGACAGGGAUGGGGUGAUUUCAGGAGAGUUUAAAACCCAACCUCAUCCCUUGAAAAAAUGGGGAGGAAGAAGAGGGAUUCGUAGUAAUUUAGGUCCAACGCAAGGAUCACAGUCCUGUGGUCAAAUUACCAAAAACAGUUUCCCGGCCCUUAUGGAAGACCUAGUUUUACCCCUACAGUGCAGGAGUUAGCUAAUCUAAUUUACUGAGCAAGAAAGUGAGGCAUAGAAAAGAUUAUCACAGAUUGUUAGCGUGCAGCUCCGCUGAGGACUUCUCCACUACUCUAAGGCCAACCAGGGCACCCAGGAGCUGGCUGGCAGUGGUCUUGGUUCUGAGGAAGGCAGCUGGACAAGGGUCGGAGGGGCUGCUCCUACAGCAAGCCCAGCAGCAAUGGAGGCCGCAAGGUGUGAAGGCCGGGCUCCUGUGUUUGAGCCUCAGCUUCAACACUAACUUUGGAAGUCGUCCAGUUUUAAGCCUCAGCUUCAACACGAGCUUUGGGAGUCGUCCAGUCUGCAUCACUGAGCACCUCUAAGGCUUUUGCUUUAUCUGCAAAUUAGGAACAACUCCUUGGAGUUGGCCAAGGCAUUAAGUGAGAUGAUGUCUGCAAACUUGUGACCCACCAGACAAGGAAUAAUGAUCUCAUCAGCUUCCCUAGAGCCCGCAGGCUGACCUGGAAUCAGCAAUCCGUGUGUUUCCAGAGCCCUGAAAAUCGUGGGUUUUUCCCCUGAGAAGCACGGCGCUGAGUGCGGAUUUGACUACGCGGCUGCGGAAAAACCAGGAGUACCGGAUUCCGGAAAGGGCCGGGCAUGCGCGGUAGCGGCGGGCGAGUUAGAGACUCCGGGAAGAAGCUGGCACGGCGCCUGGGCUGCCCAGGCAGGGGUGGGGCCACUAUAUAUGGGAGCUGCGUCGGGACAAUCGGCGCGGACCUCUUCGGAGAGUGUGGCCUGACAUCCACGCGAGCCACUGUCAUCCAAGCCCGCGACCACCCUGUCCGGGUCGCAGGUCUCAGCGCACUGAACUGGCAAGGGGCCCAGAGCCGGCAAAGCCAGCCCAAUUCUUAAAGACAACAAAUUACACAAACUUUGUAGGAGGAAUUCUAGAUUACAUAUUAAAGCGGUUUUUUGUGUCUGCGG